GACGAACGCUGGCGGCGUGCCUAAUACAUGCAAGUAGAACGCUGAAGGAGGAGCUUGCUUCUCUGGAUGAGUUGCGAACGGGUGAGUAACGCGUAGGUAACCUGCCUGGUAGCGGGGGAUAACUAUUGGAAACGAUAGCUAAUACCGCAUAAUAGUAGAUGUCGCAUGACAUUUGCUUAAAAGGUGCAAUUGCAUCACUACCAGAUGGACCUGCGUUGUAUUAGCUAGUUGGUGAGGUAACGGCUCACCAAGGCAACGAUACAUAGCCGACCUGAGAGGGUGAUCGGCCACACUGGGACUGAGACACGGCCCAGACUCCUACGGGAGGCAGCAGUAGGGAAUCUUCGGCAAUGGACGGAAGUCUGACCGAGCAACGCCGCGGGAGUGAAGAAGGGUUUCGGAUCGUAAAGCUCUGUUGUAAGAGAAGAACGAGUGUGAGAGUGGAAAGUUCACACUGUGACGGUAUCUUACCAGAAAGAGACGGCUAACUACGUG
rnacentral:rRNA from 1 species